rnacentral:lncRNA from 1 species
UGUUUACAUGAACCAACAGCAAGAAAACAUUAAAUGCAUUAUUGUGCCCUCUCUGUCCCAUCCACAUGAGUUGUACACUAGUGCAAAUACAGCCGGCAUGCCCACUGUUCAACCAAAGGAGAAGCAAAGGAACAUAAUAUUUUCCGAAUGACAAGACCCUUUUAACUGAGAAUCAGAUUUUUCCGAGAGAACGAGGUUUUUAUUUCUCUUGUCCAAGUUAAAAUACUGAAAUCAACUGGGAUUAACCAGAGAUAGCUGUGCAUGCAGAUACCAGAAAUGGUACACAAUGAAGGCCCCUUAAUAUGGAUCUGCAGAUAGACUUUCUUUUCACUCACAAUGAUGCACUGUUGGGCAUAUGAUCUCUGUACAACACAUACGACAGCAAUUUUCUUCCCUUUGAAUGGAUCUGCUUUAACAAAUGGGUAAAUUUUUGUUAAAAUGCCUCAAGUGAGCGAGCCAAAGUUGAACCCGAACCCACUUCUCUUUUCUCGAACAUCUAAAAAUGGAAUGCUAUGAAAUUAACGAGGACCCAGAUUCCUCAAAUAAAAUACUAGUACUUUUGCUUUUUGCUUGUCCAAACCCACAAUAACAAAACUCAUUAAAAUGAUUGAAAUGACACAAGAGUUGAUUUUAUGUGCUAUCAGAUAUGACUUCUAAAAUCAACACCACAGAUUAAUCCUGCAAAAACCCACAAACCCAAUCAAUACAUCAAACAUUCAAGAGUUACAUAUCAAUUAUUAUGCACCCUCACAAUGUGUGUGUGUGUGUGUGAGAGAGAGAGAGAAAAUAUGCAGAGAAGAUUUGAUAGGAUAAAAAUGGUAAUCCUUUGUCUAUCUAUAUGCUCUCCACCCUGGCUCCUGGGAGGAGGCACAUCCUGCGAUUUACCUCCUCCACGAUGGUCCAGGACAGGGUCGGUGGGGGCCCCUAAGGUUGGGGUUCAACCUUUUAACAAGAAGCCAACAAAAACCCACCCAGAAAAAUGAAAAAGAUCACACUACAGAAGAUUCACUUAUGGGUGUAUGUAUUCAGUGUGUGUGAAAAUGCGUGAGAGAGAAAGGGAGAGUCACGUUACAUAUAAUAGUGAUAUUCAUACACAAUGAGCUUUCAAGUUGAACAACCCCAACAACUCAAUCCAAACUGAUGUAAUUCAACCCAACCCGAAACAAUAUUAAAUUACUG